rnacentral:rRNA from 1 species
GACGAACCGUGCGAACGUUGUUCGGAAUCACUGGGCUUAAAGGGCGCGUAGGCGGGCUGGCAAGUCCGGGGUGAAAUCCUCCAGCUUAACUGGAGAACGGCCUCGGAUACUGCCGGCCUGGAGGCGGGUAGGGGCGGGCGGAACUCUGGGUGGAGCGGUGAAAUGCGUUGAUAUCCAGAGGAACUCCGGUGGCGAAGGCGGCCCGCUGGACCCGGUCUGACGCUGAGGCGCGAAAGCCAGGGGAGCGAACGGG